GUGUCAGCCGCCGCGGUAAUACAGAGGGUGCAAGCGUUAAUCGGAAUUACUGGGCGUAAAGCGUGCGUAGACGGUUAUGUAAGUUAGGUGUGAAAGCCCCGGGCUCAACCUGGGAAUUGCAUUUAAGACUGCAUAGCUAGGGUGCGGAAGAGGGAAGCGGAAUUUCCGGUGUAGCGGUGAAAUGCGUAGAUAUCGGAAGGAACAUCAGUGGCGAAAGCGGCUUCCUGGUCCAGCACCGACGUUCAGGCACGAAAGCGUGGGGAGCAAACAGGAUUAGAUACCCCGGUAGUCC
rnacentral:rRNA from 1 species